UUGAUUUCUUUCCAUAAACCCUCCGUCUUCCACCUUUUUUCCCUCUCAUUCUAAAAUAUGGAUGCAGAAGGUGGAGACGAAGUUUUAGCAGAUCUAAAUGACAUCACUAAACUUCUUCGGACAAAAGAUGUGGAGGAACUCUAUGAAUCAUACGAGUUGGGGCAUAACAAUCAGACAGUGGAAAAAGAUGGUUCUGUAGUCGAAAAUCAAGGCUCAAAUGGGUGUGAUACGCUACUAGUCAUUUCAACCAGAGAUUUUUCAACUUGUGAGGAACUUCUGAAUAGUGUUCGUGAGAUUGUAUUGAGGCAAGGAUUUGUGACAAAAAUUAAAAAAUCAAAGACAAAUUGUUACGUUAUAAUUGAUUGCGACAGGGGAGGUAUGUAUCACUAUCAAAUAAACCACCUGAGGAAAUGAGAAGAAAAGUGACAGGCUCUAGACUAAUUAAUUGUCCCUUUGAAGUUUGGGGAAAAAGAAAAAGGGAUGGAGUAUGGAAGCUGGACAUAAAAAAUUUGGCUCAUAACCAUGAAGCUUCAUGGGACACAUUUUUGUUAAAUUGGACUAGCUUGAUUCAAUCUCCUGAUGAGUUAUCUUUUGACCAGAAUAUGAGUCUUUUUGAAGUUCAGUAUGCAGAGAAAGGUUCUUUAUUGAAUUAUAUCAAUACUACAUGGAUUCCGUACAAAGAGAGGUGAUUUUCGUGAUGUAAAAGACAAAAUUUCUCUGGCAAUCGAGAAUCAGUACCAAGAAAUCAAAACAAGAGUUGCAAGUGAAAAGGUGCGUAUACCACAUAAGUUUCGUAUUCCUUUAUUUCGGGAACUUAUUUGUCAUGUUUCAGUGUUUGCUCUUAGUCAAUGAUAUAAGCAAUAUGAGCUAGCAACAAUACCAGGAGUUUUAACAAUCACUUGUAAGUCACAUUUUUCAAAUUCUAUGGGACUUCCAUGUGCACACAAAGAUAAGAGAAUUGGAUAGAGAAGGCAUAUUGCAUCUUAAUGAAAUUCAUCCACAGUGGAGGAUUGAUACAAAAUCAUUCCUUGAUAGUAAUACUUCAUUGAAUGAUCGUAAUGAUGACAUUGACGUACUUCUUCAAGAGUUUCGAGAUAAAUAUCACAAUCUGCCUUUGGUACAAAAGGAAGACAGUAGAAGACAAAUUACUCAGUUUCUUGAUGCUCCUCCUGCUGUGAUACUUGAACCAGAGAUGAUUCCACAUAAAGGGCUUCCUAUUGGCUCAAAAAUAAGAGAAAUAAAAGCUCUACAACCCGCGAUCCAUCAGCUUUUGAGAUACAUGACAUGAGAAAGUGUAGUACAUGUCAAGGCACUGGACAUAAUUCUCGUACUUGUCCGAGAAGUAUUCAAGACACAUAAGAAAUGAUUGGCUGGGAUGGAAUGCUAUAUUUGGAUUGAGUUAGAGUAGUAGAUUAUGUUGUAACUAAGUGACCAGACUUCUUUUAUCAAUCUAUUUGUUAUUAUGCUACUGCAGUAUCCUUCAGAAUACUACCUCAAGAUUUCUCAUGCAUAUAAAA